GACGAACGCUGGCGGCGUGCUUAACACAUGCAAGUCGAACGGAAAGGCCCUGCUUUUGUGGGGUGCUCGAGUGGCGAACGGGUGAGUAACACGUGAGUAACCUGCCCUUGACUUUGGGAUAACUUCAGGAAACUGGGGCUAAUACCGGAUAGGAGCUCCUGCUGCAUGGUGGGGGUUGGAAAGUUUCGGCGGUUGGGGAUGGACUCGCGGCUUAUCAGCUUGUUGGUGGGGUAGUGGCUUACCAAGGCUUUGACGGGUAGCCGGCAUGAGAGGGUGACCGGCCACAUUAGGACUGAGAUACGGCCCAGACUCCUACGGGAGGCAGCGGUGGGGAAUAUUGCACAAUGGGCGGAAGCCUGAUGCAGCAACGCCGCGUGCGGAAUGACGGCCUUCGGGUUGUAAACCGCUUUCGCCUGUGACGAAGCGUGAGUGACGGUAAUGGGUAAAGAAGCACCGGCUAACUACGUG
rnacentral:rRNA from 1 species